UACGUAGGUGGCAAGCGUUGUCCGGAAUUAUUGGGCGUAAAGGGCGUGUAGGCGGCCUGCCAAGUCUGAUGUGAAAUCUCACAGCUCAACUGUGAACGUGCAUUGGAAACUGGUAGGCUAGAGUGUCGGAGAGGAAAGCGGAAUUCCAUGUGUAGCGGUGAAAUGCGUAGAGAUAUGGAGGAACACCAGUGGCGAAAGCGGCUUUCUGGACGAUUACUGACGCUGAGACGCGAAAGCGUGGGGAGCAAACAGG
rnacentral:rRNA from 1 species